ensembl:processed_transcript 9130024F11Rik RIKEN cDNA 9130024F11 gene
AGGCGCACUCGUCCCGGCGCGCAGGCUGCGGCGACUAGGCGGGCGCUCCGUGUCGCGGCUCGCCGCAGAGGCGCAGGCUGGCGCUCGGGAGGCGGCAGAGGCUGCCUCGUCUCCGGGCUCUGUUAAUUGCGCCGCCGAGUACUUUCGACUUUGGAGAUAGGAGGGCGAUCGCCUCCCCCACCCACCGCCUCCGCCCACCACCCACCGCCUCCGCCCCUCGGAGCAACUUUUCUCGGUGCGAGCGAGCUCCCCAUCUGCUCGGAGCCGACCGGCCCGGCCCGAAGCGCUCCCGGCCGCGUUUGGGGAAGGCCACUUCUCCCUCAAAUCCCGUGCGGCCGCGGGUCCGGAACAAUAGCCCGGGUGUCCCGAACGCCUGGAGCGAGACUCCGCCCGUCCGGCUGGCUGUGGGUCCGGCACUGGAGAAAGGGUUGCUCCGUGGGCACAAGGCAGGCUGCAUCCCUGCCACUCUCGCCACGCGGGCUACGUUGCGAGCGGCGCAGCCCGAGCUGCCCGGAGGCCAGAACACUGUGCCGGCCGGGGCGCUGAAGCUGCGCGCCCCUCGGGUUGCAGCACUGGGGCUCCCGAAGACCCUCAGCGGCUGAGGACCGAGUUCGGCGCGAGCAGAGCUGAGCCGUGGGGACCUAGCCUCUCCGCCCCGAGCGAGGCCGCGCCGAUGAGUCCCUAGCUGGUCCUUCUAAGGCUUAGGAGCCACAAACUUUUGCGGACUCCCGCGGCCCUAGCCUUUCGGCUCGCGCAGCUUUACUUGUUUAAGGUGGCGCGGUGACUGCCCGCCAAAACCCCGCUGCCGGCCGCGCUUUUGUCUUGGCCAUUCGGCAUGGGCGCGGACCUCCUUAAAAAAAAAAAAAAAAUAGCACGUGGGCAGGGGCCGCGGCCCCGGCGAGGUGCCUGCCGCGUCCGGCUUCUGUCAGCCCCUGGAACCUCAAAGGAGAAAAUAUGAACCAGUCCUCUCCGGCCUUCCGGCCAGAGAUGCCCCUUGAGCCGGCGGCAUCUCUUGUCCCUUCUGUGCACCGGGGCUUUCCCUCCAGUUCCCCAGGACCCCAAGGACUCGGCUUCCACCGGUUGCCUGAGCCACUAGUCCCCCUUAAGAAGUAUUGACUGUACGGCGGCGCCAGAGGGCCAAACUAAAUUCGGUUUCGGGAAACGCGCUCGAGGCAAUUCUCUAAAUCCUGGCCUUGAGCUGGGCCAGUGGAGAUUGAAUCUGAGAGUAGCGCUGGAGACUGGGCUGCUGUCCACUUGCUUGGUAGCCUACCCCCUUGACCCCACAACGCCCCAAGAGUCGCAAACCCACGGCCAGGGAAGCCUAAGGGCUUCUAAAAGAAAGAGGGUCCCCGAAACGAAACCUGUCCCUGGCCUAAAUCUCGGUGCCCAGACCUCGGUGAGUCCCACUCAAAGGAGCCGCCCACCAACUUCACCAGAAGCCCCAGGCGGCAAGGGGAGCCCUGCCGAGCCGAGUCGAGCCUGGCAGGGUAGUAAUCCUCCAGAGAGCCACCGCAGUUUUAGGAAGCCUUUUUCUUUUCCCUGUUUUUUUCUUCCCCCAAAUUCCGUGCUCCCACGAACAUGCCCAGCCAAAGGGGCUAAAGAAAAUUCCAAGCCCGUGAAAGCAAAGUGGCUCAAGUAAAAUCAGCCCUUGAAGGUAGCUGAAAGGUUGUUUUUUGGUUUUUGGUUUUUUUUUUUUUUUUUUAAAGCAAUGAAAGAAAGAAACUGUAAGUUUGAUUUACAAACUUUAAAAAAGAACAAUGUUAUAGCAUAUCGAAAUGAAAAGGGGUGUUUCAAAAACUUAGCUAUCGCUGUCAAACUAAGCCUGCUUUUUAAAUUGGAAAUGCAUAUAUUUUAUUUAUAUACUAACUGUAUUAAACCCCCCCCUCCCACCCCGUUUUCUUUCUUACCUUGGUGUUGGAACUACAGAAUCCACCUCCGGCCCAAUGUCCACGAACUAAGAAGAAUUGAUGAUAUUAGGACUUGAGGACUUCUGGAAAAAAAUGCAAAUCGUUUAGUGGGGAUCUUUUUUGUCUGAUUCGUCACUAUUAUUAUAUCUGAUGAUGCGAUGGUUGGAACGAUUCUAUCCUGUCAUUAAUUAGCUAUUUUAUAAAAAUCACUGUCGGAAAAUCGUCAUUUGCGUUUUGCUAAGGAUCUCUUCGCUAACCUCACUGGCGUGUGUCAACAGUAUAAUUAUGAACUUCAGCUACAACUCUUAUAAACAACACGGCAGUAUUGUUUAAUCGGUUAAUAUUUUAUAAAGUGUACAUAUUUUAUUAUGCUUUGAGGGGAACUAUUGAUACUAAGUUAUUUUUAAAAAGAGAAAGUCUAUUUAAAUAAAGCAUACAAUUAAGUUCAAUUAAAUGUGCACUGUGGCUAGAUUCUACACCCUUUCAAAUUCAUUAUUUCUUUUGUCUAUUUUUGAUAAUGUAAAGAAAAUCUACCAUUUGGAACAAGUAAUUCUAAAUUAUUUAAAAUUACAUUUUAAAAAUUAAACAAAUUACAUUUAAUAUACAUGACAAUGUGUAAUUUGAUGUCAUUACCAAAAGUGUACUUUGAAUGUUGGCAGAUUUAUUUUUAGUAGAGCAUUUUCAAAUUUCUCUCGUUUCAUAAAAGGAGAAUUCUAGAAAGUUUUGCCAUGCAUACCCAGUGUGAAUUUUUCCCUGUAGUUUUGACCCGGAUAAAGGCCUUUUCUGUUUCAAGUGACAUGUUUUUCCCAAUCCAGUUUUGUUAACUUCAUUUCAGCUAAAGCAAAUAUUUUCAAACACUUCUAAUUGCUACAGUAAUUUAUAUUUGAAAUAACACUUUUAAAACAUUUGUCAUUUUCAUUUUUAAAAACAGUGAAUAAAUAUAUUUGAUGAUGAU